rnacentral:rRNA from 1 species
UACAGAGGGGGCAAGCGUUGUUCGGAAUUACUGGGCGUAAAGGGCGCGUAGGCGGCCAACUAAGUCAGACGUGAAAUCCCCAGGCUCAACCUGGGAACUGCGUCUGAUACUGGAUGGCUCGAGUUCGGGAGAGGGAAGUGGAAUUCCAGGUGUAGCGGUGAAAUGCGUAGAUAUCAGGAGGAACACCGGCGGCGAAGGCGGUGCUCUGGGCCAGUAUUGACGCUGAGGAGCGAAAGCGUGGGUAGCAAACAGG